CUUCCCUCACGCCGCCCUCAGCGAGCGCCGCCGCCGGGGGGCUGCGCCCGCUGCCCGAGGGCCGGCUGCGGCGGCGGCCGCUCGGCCCCGGAACGGGAAGCGCUGCGGGGGCCGAGCGGAGGCAGCGAGCGGGGAAGAACCGCCCCCUCCCCCCCCGUGCAGAGCUUACCCGCGGCCGCUGCCGCCUCGCGCCCCCCCCUCCCUUUAUGGCCGCCCCUCACCCGCCCCCCUCACGGCCUCGGCCAUGGCCGGGCCCGCCCGCAGAACGGCAGCGGCGCCGGGAAGAGGAGGAGGAAGAGGAGGAGGAGGAGUUCAAGAGCUCGAGCUCCGAGAGACGCAAUAAGCGAUUGUGCCGUGAGUCUUGGCAGAGCCAAAUCCGUGAGCAGGGGCUGGUGCAAACAGGAGAGUACAGGGCUCCACCUCUUUAACUGCUCCCAGGUUAUGUUUAUUGUGGAUCACACCAUCUCAUGAAGAAAGAGGGCAUGAGUUCAGGACCUGCAUUUUCCUGUGGCCUUGGGUAAAGCAGUUCCCUUUACACACUUUACACAGUAUUUUGACUGUUGUUAAAAUGGAAAUAAAGAAUACCUUUUCUCUUUUCAAGCAUUGAGUAACAGCCUCAAUGUUUGGUGUGGAUUAAUUCCCUGGAGUCUGUUCUCUUCCUCACUUCUUUUUGAAAACCAGUUCAAGAUGCCUUGAGACCAUAGGAGAAAAACUCAUGUAUGAAUUUGACUUAUUUUGCAUGUAAGAGGAAGCCUUACCUUGAUCUUGCCCACUGGGAUUUGGAAUUUAUCAAAGGAAGAAGAUAUCAGUGUAUUGAACCAUAUUGUGAGGGUAGGAGGAAGCUCAAGAAGCUUUUCAAGCACUAAGCACAAACAUUAAUGACAAUGUAAAACCCAUGUGAAAAGAAAAAAAAGCUUUUACAUUUUUCUAUUUCCAGAUACAAAUAACUGCAUCCAAAAACCCUUACAAACCCGUACAAUGUGGUGUGUGGUUUUGGAAUUUAAAAUAAUUUGAGAUGAGGCAAAGUAAGCAUCCCAAGUUUUUGAAAACAUUCCCAGUUCGUUAGAGUUUAACAUCAAAUAGUUGCUGUGUGAUAAGAACACGAGCAUGUGGGAGGUCUUUCAAGGAAAAAAAAAAAAGUCUUUGUGUGAGGCAAACUUUCAACAUUAGGAGAACUCCCUCUGUUUAUAACAACAUUUUUCUGUUUAUAAACAACAUUCUCCUGAAGGAAACAGGAGCGCUGGAGAAGUGCGAGAGAGGACAUUGAAAAUUUUCACAGUGUAACACUUUUUAAGUCUGUCAUAGAUGUCUGCAUUUUAAUACCAAUUUUGUGCUGUGAUUUUUAUUAAUCUCACCAUAAGCUCAUAUUCCACUCUAUUUCUCCAGUGGAUACAGCCUAUCCUUAAUCUAAAUAUUAAUAGCAUUUACACAGAUAUUUUAUGUUGCUUCAAAUAUUUUCUGGAAGAUUUGGGGUCGCUUUGUGGCACAAUAAGGAAUUUUUGAGCAGAGCAGAUCAGAGCAAGGCAGCACUGGAUCAGUUACUGGGUGUGAAUUGUUCUGCACUAACACCACCCUUGGAACCAGCUGCUUUUUAGAGCAGUCAGAGACUUCUGGUCACAGCACCUGCAAUUUCCAGCCAUUGGGAUGGAGCUGUUCGAGGAAGAGCUGUUCCCAACCCUGAUCUGUGCCGUGCUGGAGUCGAGCAGAGCUCUCCCCACUCAGCAGGAGCGGGGCCUGCCCUCUCUGGGUUGUGCCAAGCCCAUCUGCCUGUUGCCUCCCGAGCGCAAAUGCAAUCUGUUACUUUGUCAAAACAAACAACACAUCUAUCCCAUCGCUUCUAGCCUGCUGCCUGCCUGACUCCCCAGCUAUGGGGAAACAGCCUGUUUAUGGCACUCUCAUUUUGGGGCAGGAGCUGUUGUAGCUCAAACAUUGCAAUGAAUAUUUCACAGCUCCAGACACAGGGCUUGGCUCUCGCUGGGGCUGGCAGCUGUUCAGGGUCAUCCUGGCAGGACAGGAAUGCCAAGUACUCCAAAAGCUCCAUUUGAUGUGUGUAUAUCAUCAGGGAGCUUGAUCAAAUCAGUGUAAGCAUUGAUUACUGACAUUAGGAUAACCCAAUGCAAUCAAAGCUGGUGUGUGUCUAUAUGAUGAUCAUUGUGAACAGCUGUAACAGCCAAGUUCUGCAACUAAUCUAUACUUCUGUAAUGAAAAUUAAUUAUUUUUCCCAUUUUUUUAGCCAUUUUAAACCCUUCCUCCACCUUUCAUAUUGCUUAUGUGCUUGUUAUGCCAGUAGUUUGGGUACAAUGGGCUAAAGAAUCCAGAAAACCUACAUCCUAACUUUCUGGAGAGCUCUCUUUUAAUAGUACUUUCUUAAAUUAGACCAUCCCACAGACUUCAGAAUCUAAAGUCUUUGUGUGUGUCAGAUUCUGACACUUUGUUUAACGUGGGCUGACUAGCUGCAGUCACAGGUUAGCUGUAGUGGGUAAGCAAGGGGAAAGGUCUUUCUUCCCCAAACACCAACUGAUUCUAGAGGUCAAAUGUAGCUUAUUAGCUUAGCAAAAUAUCAAAGAUGUCUUUUCAUCCUUUAAAAGGAGAUUUUAAUCCUUUUUACUUAUCCUUAAAUGCAGCUAAGAUCAUGUUUUAAGUAUUCCUUAGCCAUAUAAGUAAAAAUACCAAUUGAAUGUUUAAUCACAAUCAACAUAACUUUUGUUUGUUCUGUCUAAUGGAGAUUUACAAAUAUAUCUUUCAGAAUGAGGAAAAAAAGAAUAAGGUAACAGACCCCAGAAAAUGACUGUUUUCAGCUGAGGAAUACAUUGUAGGAUCCCUCUCCACAACUCAGAAAGAGUAGCCAGAAGGGGGUAGGGAAAAUUGUGGCAAUCAUGAGCACAGAAUGGCUUCUCCAAAGAAUUAAAACAAGUCAAGACUUCUAGCUAAGGAAUCUGAGUGGUGGCUUGAGAAAGGACUGAUGCUCUUGGCUUGGUGCUCUGUGCUUCCCAAGGACUGCAAUUUUUACAUUAAUUAGUAAAAUACCCAUUUCAGUUUCUGAGUUUGAGGAAAGCUAGAUGGAUGAAACCAUACAUUUGUGAGUGAUGCUUUUGGCCACCGAUCAAUGUGGUAACCAGGCACUGCCAAGCUAAGAGGCAGAAAAGCCUCUAUCCCUGUGAAUUUCUUUAAGAAGACUGCUUGCAACAAUGUGCAUUUACUAUGGCACAGCUUUUGGUGCAGAAAGUGACACAUUCUUUGUCUGGGUACUCCUGAUGCGAUGAUUUGGCAUUUGCAGAACUGUACUUGUUUGUCAGAGGAGCAAAGAUGCAGCAAUGUGUCAUUGCGCUGUUUGAGCCCCGAGUCACUGCUCCAGAUCUGCACUGAACACAUCACACUUCCUACUUCUCACCUGUUGCAAAGGGAUCUUAGAGCUGACUGAUUGUUCCUGUGCUGAUAAGGGUGUCUGGCCCUUUGCUGUUACACCCUCUGCUGUCAUUUGGAGCAGGGACACACAUUUCCUUUCUCUGGUGACACAGACAAGUACGUUGUCUCCCUGGCUCAGCUCCAGGCUCUUUUCAGUGCAGCUUCACAGGUAAGGACAGCACAGCCCUGCUUGUUUGUCUGCUUUCAUCAUUGUUCCUGAGUUUGAUUUAAAACAAUUUACCUCAUUAGCUAUUUUUCCUGCUAACUGCAUAGCCCUAAAGGAAAAAAAUAAUCUCAGCGGUGUCCUAUAAAUAAAUAAAAUGUUUUUAAACAAGCCAA